GGAUGGCUCUUUGCAGACACCUUCUCCACCAAGAGCUCAGGAACCGAGUGAAUGCUGGGCAGGGCGUCAUAUUCUCUGAGGUGGUGACCAUCGCUAUGUGAACAACUACACGAACAGCUUCGGGGGUGAGUGGAGUGCACCGGACACCAUGAAGAGAUACUCCAUGUACCUGACACCCAAAGGUGGGGUCCGGACAUCAUACCAGCCCUCGUCUCCUGGCCGCUUCACCAAGGAGACCACCCAGAAGAAUUUCAACAAUCUCUAUGGCACCAAAGGUAACUACACCUCCCGGGUCUGGGAGUACUCCUCCAGCAUUCAGAACUCUGACAAUGACCUGCCCGUCGUCCAAGGCAGCUCCUCCUUCUCCCUGAAAGGCUAUCCCUCCCUCAUGCGGAGCCAAAGCCCCAAGGCCCAGCCCCAGACUUGGAAAUCUGGCAAGCAGACUAUGCUGUCUCACUACCGGCCAUUCUACGUCAACAAAGGCAGUGGGAUUGGGUCCAACGAAGCCCCAUGAGCUCCUGGCGGAAGGAACGAGGCGCCACACCCCUGCUCUUCCUUCUGACCCUGCUGCUCUUGCCUUCUAAGCUACUGUGCUUGUCUGGGUGGGAGGGAGCCUGGUCCUGCACCUGCCCUCUGCAGCCCUCUGCCAGCCUCUUGGGGGCAGUUCUGGCCUCUCCGACUUCCCCACUGGCCACACUCCAUUCAGACUCCUUUCCUGCCUUGUGACCUCAGAUGGUCACCAUCAUUCCUGUGCUCAGAGGCCAACCCAUCACAGGGGUGAGAUAGGUGGGGCCUGCCCUAACCCGCCAGCCUCCUCCUCUCAGGCUGGAUCUGGGGGCUAGCAGUGAGUACCCGCAUGGUGUCAGCCUGCCUUUCCCGCCCACGCCCUGCUGUCUCCAGGCCUAUAGACGUUUCUCUCCAAGGCCCCAUCCCCCAAUGUUGUCAGCAGAUGCCUGGACAGCACAGCCACCCAUCUCCCAUUCACAUGGCCCACCUCCUGCUUCCCAGAGGACUGGCCCUACGUGCUCUCUCUGGUCCUACCUAUCAAUGCCCAGCAUGGCAGAACCUGCAGCCCUUGGCCACUGCAGAUGGAAACCUCUCAGUGUCUUGACAUCACCCUACCCAGGCGGUGGGUCUCCACCACAGCCACUUUGAGUCUGUGGUCCCUGGAGGGUGGCUUCUCCUGACUGGCAGGAUGACCUUAGCCAAGAUAUUCCUCUGUUCCCUCUGCUGAGAUAAAGAAUUCCCUUAACAUGAUAUAAUCCACCCAUGCAAAUAGCUACUGGCGCAGCUACCAUUUACCAUUUGCCUACAGAAUUUCAUUCAGUCUAUACUUUGGCAUUCUCUCUGGCGAUGGAGUGUGGCUGGGCUGACCGCAAAAGGUGCCUUACACACUGCCCCCACCCUCAGCCGUUGCCCCAUCAGAGGCUGCCUCCUCCUUCUGAUUACCCCCCAUGUUGCAUAUCAGGGUGCUCAAGGAUUGGAGAGGAGACAAAACCAGGAGCAGCACAGUGGGGACAUCUCCCGUCUCAACAGCCCCAGGCCUAUGGGGGCUCUGGAAGGAUGGGCCAGCUUGCAGGGGUUGGGGAGGGAGACAUCCAGCUUGGGCUUUCCCCUUUGGAAUAAACC
rnacentral:sRNA from 1 species